rnacentral:rRNA from 1 species
AGAGCGAACGCUGGCGGCAGGCCUAAUACAUGCAAGUCGAACGGACCCUUCGGGGUUAGUGGCGGACGGGUGAGUAACACGUGGGAACGUGCCCUUUGGUUCGGAACAACUCAGGGAAACUUGAGCUAAUACCGAAUGUGCCCCCAUCCUUAAACAAGAUGGGUGGGAAAGAUUUAUCGCCAUUGGAGCGGCCCGCGUCUGAUUAGCUAGUUGGUGGGGUAAAGGCUCACCAAGGCGACGAUCAGUAGCUGGUCUGAGAGGAUGAUCAGCCACACUGGGACUGAGACACGGCCCAGACUCCUACGGGAGGCAGCAGUAGGGAAUCUUGCGCAAUGGGCAAAGCCUGACGCAGCCAUGCCGCGUGAAUGAUGAAGGUCUUAGGAUUGUAAAAUUCUUUCAGCGGGGACGAUAAUGACGGUACCCGCAGAAGAAGCCCGGCUAACUUCGUGCCAGCAGCCGC